rnacentral:rRNA from 1 species
AACGAACGCUGGCGGCAGGCUUAACACAUGCAAGGCGAGCGCCCCGCAAGGGGAGCGGCAGACGGGUGAGUAACGCGUGGGAAUCUACCUUUUGCUACGGAAUAACGCAUGGAAACGUGUGCUAAUACCGUAUGUGCCCUUUGGCGGAAAGAUUUAUCGGCAAAGGAUGAGCCCGCGUUGGAUUAGCUAGUUGGUGGGGUAAAGGCCUACCAAGGCGACGAUCCAUAGCUGGUCUGAGAGGAUGAUCAGCCACAUUGGGACUGAGACACGGCCCAAACUCCGACGCGGGGCAGCAGUGGGGAAUAUUGGACAAUGGGCGAAAGCCUGAUCCAGCCAUGCCGCGUAAGUGAUGAAGGCAUUAGGGUUGUAAAGCUCUUUCACCGGUGAAGAUAAUGACGGUAACCGGAGAAGAAGCCCCGGCUAACUUCGUGCCAGCCGCCGCCGUAAAAC